AUAGUGUCUGUAUCACACUGUAGUAGCAAAAGAGAGCACUGCGCGCGCAUUUUCUUUCUCUCUUCCCCUCAUAGCUAGUAACAUGAAAUAUAUAAUAUCUCAGUCAGUACGUUUGCGAGUUUGCUAGGGUUACGCGAACGGUGAUUUCCUGAUUAUCUCGUAAUUUCAUUUCGUUCUUGAACAAUUUGUUUAGUUAAUAUUGUGUUUCAAUACGUUUAAAGUGAAUAAAAUUGUAAAAAUUCAUUUUAAAGUUUAUAUUUUGUGAAUUUUUGGGUGUAUAGCUGUAGUAAAUUAUGGCGAGAAGUGACACAGCCUAUGAGUAUGAAAGCGGUGCUACAGAACCAUCAACUAAGAAGAAAUUACGUGCUGAAAUUGUGCAUAAAAAGUGUGUAACAACAUAUUCAAGCCAAGAUUUGAAUCUGAGUGAAACCCAAUCAACUGAUAACGAUUCACGAAGGUUCAAUAAAGUGCCAAAAACAUCUGCAGAACGAGGUCGAGAAUUCAGAGCACGAAAAGCACUCCUUAAACAACAAAUUAAGCAACAGAAGGAACCAGAUGCAAGAGUUGAAAUUGCAAUAGAAAAUAUUCAAAAUGCUGAUCCAUCAGAAGACAAUCAUGUCCCUAAGCCCUUAGAACUAAGUAUAAUAGAAAAAAGAGCAAAGUCUGCCGAAGCAACACGGCGAUGGAGAGAGAAGAAGCGAGCCGUUAGUGGGUCGUCAAAGAAACAGGCAAAAACCGCAGCUCAACGCAUGCGAGAAUACAGGGAGAGAAGAAAAUUAUGCCAAAGCCGAAAACGUUUGGGAGAUGCACUCGUAAAAGUUUGCGUGCAAAUAGACUUAACUUACAAAAGAGAAAAAGAAAACUUAAAAAGGAAGAGACAGAGGCAGUAGAGACGUCGCCGGAAUCCUCGUGCGCGGCCGAGACUCCUCGACUCCGGAUACUGUCCGUCCCAGUGGUGAAUGAAACCAGGCCGAGCCCGGAUAGCACGGAGUUCAUCGACGUGAAGCCUUACGUCCCGGGCCACUGUCACUGGUACACUCCUGUAUCCCCACCCCCCGGCGACACCAGCCCCGGCUCACCUCACCGAACCGCUGACAGUCCACACGACUUCGCACCAGAAGAGAACUCUUCAUUCUUCCAAUUCUUCCGAAGUCUUCACAGCGAUUAUCUAGGACUUACUCCAUCAAACCAGAGGAAAUUUAAAAGGCAGUGUUUGACUUAUCUCCACGAGCUCCAUGUUGAAGAGGAGACAGAGCAGCCGGGCUCCAGAUGUCCACAGCAGCAACUCAACUUAACCAGCAUGGCGCCGGAUAGCGAAUACGAGAUAGAUGUUAAGCCUUCCAUAGACAGUAAUCCAAUCCAAAUUAAUGUAUCAAAUAUUGUGAGUUGUGUAAAUGUACAUAAAUGAAGCUAUACAUUAUAGUUAUAGACAUUAUGA